rnacentral:rRNA from 1 species
GCCUGCCCAGUGACUUAGUUCAACGGCCGCGGUAUCCUAACCGUGCGAAGGUAGCGUAAUCACUUGUUCUUUAAAUGAGGACUAGUAUGAAUGGCACCACGAGGGUUAAACUGUCUCCUUUUUUUGAUCAGUGAAACUAAUCUCCCCGUGAAAAAGCGGGGAUACUUAUAUAAGACGAGAAGACCCUAUGGAGCUUUAAACAAACUAACAUCCGCUACCACUUAAUUACUUUCAGAAUUACCACAAAAAACAUAGCAUUUUGAUUAUAAAUUUUCGAUUGGGGUGAUCACGGAGAUAAAAAACAACCUCCACGACGAAAGGACUAAACUCCUUAACAAAAAGCUACUACUUUAUGCAUUAACAUAUUAACGACCUUUGACCCAUUAUUUGAUCAACGAACCAAGUUACCCUAGGGAUAACAGCGCAAUCUACUUCGAGAGCCCCUAUCGACAAGUGGGUUUACGACCUCAAUGUUGGAUCAGGGUAUCCCAGUGGUGCAGCCGCUACUAACGGUUCGUUUGUUCAACGAUUAAAACCCU